GAUGAAGAACGCAGCGAAAUGCGAUAAGUAAUGUGAAUUGCAGAAUUCAGUGAAUCAUCGAAUCUUUGAACGCACAUUGCGCCCGCCAGCACUCUGGCGGGCAUGCCUGUUCGAGCGUCAUUUCAACCAUCAAGCCCCCAGGGGCUUGUGCUGGGGCCCUGCGGCUGCCCGCAGGCCCUGAAAACCAGUGGCGGGCUCGCUAGUCACACCGAGCGCAGUAGCACAUCUCGCUCAGGGCGUGCGGCGGGCUCCUGCCGUGACACCCCCCACUGUAACCCCAAAGGUUGACCUCGGAUCAGGUAGGAAUACCCGCUGAACUUAAGCAUAUCAAUAAGCGGAGGA
rnacentral:misc_RNA from 1 species